UACGUAGGGGGCAAGCGUUGUCCGGAAUUAUUGGGCGUAAAGAGCUUGUAGGCGGUCUGUCGCGUCUGCUGUGAAAAUCCGGGGCUCAACCCCGGACUUGCAGUGGGUACGGGCAGACUAGAGUGUGGUAGGGGAGACUGGAAUUCCUGGCGUAGCGGUGAAAUGCGCAGAUAUCAGGAGGAACACCGAUGGCGAAGGCAGGUCUCUGGGCCACUACUGACGCUGAGACGCGAAAGCGUGGGGAGCGAACAGG
rnacentral:rRNA from 1 species